rnacentral:rRNA from 1 species
UACAGAGACUGCAAGCGUUAUUCGGAUUCACUGGGCGUAAAGGGUGCGCAGGCGGCCAAGUGUGUCAGGUGUGAAAUCCCGAGCUUAACCUCGGAACUGCGCCUGAAACUACUUGGCUAGAGUACUGGAGAGGGUAACGGAAUUCACGGUGUAGCAGUGAAAUGCGUAGAUAUCGUGAGGAACACCAGAGGCGAAGGCGGUUACCUGGACAGUUACUGACGCUGAGGCGCGAAAAGCGUGGGGGAGCGAUCCGG